GCAGUAUGGGAUUGGGAAACUGCGCCAAUUAGAUUAAUCAUUGAAGCUUGUAAACUUUCAAAACGGUUGAAUUAAAAUAGGAAAGUUAAUGUUUAUACAGCUGUCAACUAGGAAAAAAAAUCACUCUUUAAUCAAGGGGAAAAAGGGAUUCAGCGCUACUAAGUUCCGACAACGGAGCUGCUCUCCGAGACUGCACAGAGUCUGGACGCCCUGAUCACUAAACCCUGGGAGUGCCACCCACUCAGGAUAGACUCUGAGGAACCAAAGAAUUUGGGGAACCUAUAUACCACUCCAGAUGACCUGGGGGCUUAGGAUGAGAGGGACAGUUGAUUGACUUUACAAUGGUGGUCUUCGACCUGAAUUUUUGGAUCUUGGACUGGGACUAUGGCUUGGAGCUAUGAUUUGAGACUUUGACCUGGGAUUCUGGCUCUUGGACUGCUUCUGGUAAGACUGCUCCUGGAUCGUCUUUGGAGCUUUGGCUUGGGAAACGGGAUCAAAAAGGAACACAGACUUAACCUGAAUACUGCAAAAAGAGCACACAGGUCAAAAAAUAAGAAACCAAUACAGGAGUGUCCCAUCCUGGGGUUCCAGGAGAGCUCAAGGAGCAUCUCACCUGCCCACAAUGAAGUCUGCAAGAGUGGAGAUCAAAAAGUUGGAGGAUCUUGGACUGGGACUUCAACUUGGAGCUAGGACUUGGACCUGGGACUCUGGAUCUUAGACUGCUUCUAGUAAGACUGCUCCUGGAUCUUCUUACUUUGGUGCUUCAUCUUGGGUGAGUGAAAAGCUGCCUCUCCUUUCCUGGCUUCUGGAGAGAUUCAUUCUGGAGAGGCCUCCCCUUCUUGUAGGAGGUCACAUGGGUUGGACCCUUGUUUAAUUCACCACUGAGUCCUAUGACUGAGGGGUUAAUGAGCUCUGCCUGGGUUGAGCCAGGGACAGAGCAACAUUAGGGUGAUAGGCAAGACAUUUUCUCUACCUUCUUUUACAUUCCUCUACUUUCACUUUUUCCACCUCUUUGUAAAUAAAACUAUUGAAAGUCAAUUUGACUUGAGCUAU
rnacentral:lncRNA from 1 species